rnacentral:rRNA from 1 species
GAUGAACGCUGGCGGCGUGCCUAACACAUGCAAGUCGAGCGAUCUUCUUCGGAAGAGAGCGGCGGACGGGUGAGUAACGCGUGGGUAACCUGCCCUGUACACACGGAUAACAUACCGAAAGGUAUGCUAAUACGGGAUAAUAUAAGAAAUUCGCAUGUUUUUCUUAUCAAAGCUCCGGCGGUACAGGAUGGACCCGCGUCUGAUUUGCUAGUUGGUGAGGUAACGGCUCACCAAAGCGACGAUCAGUAGCCGACCUGAGAGGGUGAUCGGCCACAUUGGAACUGAGACACGGUCCAAACUCCUACGGGAGGCAGCAGUGGGGAAUAUUGCACAAUGGGCGAAAGCCUGAUGCAGCAACGCCGCGUGAGCGAUGAAGGCCUUCGGGUCGUAAAGCUCUGUCCUCAAGGAAGAUAAUGACGGUACUUGAGGAGGAAGCCCCGGCUAACUACGUGCCAGCAGCCGCCGUAACAC